rnacentral:rRNA from 1 species
CCUACGGGGGGCUGCAGUGAGGAAUAUUGGUCAAUGGACGGAAGUCUGAACCAGCCAUGCCGCGUGCAGGAAGACGGCUCUAUGAGUUGUAAACUUCUUUUGUCAAGGGACAAAAUCAGGCUCGAGAGCCUGACCGAGGGUACUUGAAGAAAAAGCAUCGGCUAACUCCGUGCCAGCAGCCGCGGUAAUACGGAGGAUGCGAGCGUUAUCCGGAUUUAUGGGGUUUAAAGGGUGCGUAGGCGGGCUGUUAAGUCAGCGGUAAAAGCCCGGGGCUCAACCCCGGCGAGCCGUUGAAACUGGCUGUCUUGAGAUGUCGAGAGGUAUGCGGAAUGCGCAGUGUAGCGGUGAAAUGCUUAGAUAUUGCGCAGAACUCCGAUUGCGAAGGCAGCAUACCGGCGGCGAUCUGACGCUGAGGCACGAAAGCGUGGGUAUCGAACAGGAUUAGAUACCCUUGUAGUC